GCCCCAGUGGCCUAGUGGUUAAAGCACUCGGCUGCUAACCAAAAGGUUGGAGGUUCAAACCUACUAGCCGCU
rnacentral:tRNA from 1 species